AUCUGAUUUUAAAAACAAUUCCUAAAAUCAUUGAAUAGUUUCAAGAGGUCUCAAAGAUCUGCGUAUGCCAUUAUUCAGAUCAAUAAUUAAGAGACAGUUACUAAAUUUAAGAUUUGGUUACUACCAAGGAUUGAAAAGCUGAACGGGAUCGGCCGGUUAGACGGGGUGGACUAUGAACUGAUACUGUUUACAGAUUUUGUAGCAAACAGAACUAUUUUUCACUUAAAAUCGGUUUGGACUGCAGGCGAACUAUCAGUUCAAACCAGUUAAAGACGGGUGACGCCCCAACGGCAGUGGAGGACGACGACAGCUGUUUCUGGGCUGCUACAGUGGACGACGUGUUCUGUAAACCACUAUAAUUUCAGCCGUUGACGACAAUUUCUCAGGGAUGACGGUUGACGACGACAAAGUCCGGUUGCUACUGUAUACGGCUUUUCUUCUUCAACGGCAACUGUAGGAUAAUGGUGGUAGGAUAUGCCGAGGUAUAUAUAUAUUAUAACUUUUGUAAAGCUGUGUGUAAAGGGUUAAGGUUAUAUAAAUUUAUCUGAAACUGCAGAAAUUAACUUCAGUGGCUGGAAAAAUUCUUGGUUAGUGUUAACGUAAUACAGUUUUGUUUGGCUGACCGAUAACGCAUAUGUUUAUUGGAUUAGAUUUGUUUAAUCCAUAUAUUUUGUUUCGAUAAAAA